AGUGAACGCUGGCGGUAGGCCUAACACAUGCAAGUCGAACGGCAGCACAGUAAGAGCUUGCUCUUACGGGUGGCGAGUGGCGGACGGGUGAGGAAUACAUCGGAAUCUACUUUUUCGUGGGGGAUAACGUAGGGAAACUUACGCUAAUACCGCAUACGACCUACGGGUGAAAGCAGGGGAUCUUCGGACCUUGCGCGAUUGAAUGAGCCGAUGUCGGAUUAGCUAGUUGGCGGGGUAAAGGCCCACCAAGGCGACGAUCCGUAGCUGGUCUGAGAGGAUGAUCAGCCACACUGGAACUGCGACACGGUCCAGACUCCUACGGGAGCCAGCAGUCGGGAAUAUUGGCCUAUGGGCGAAAGCCUGAUCCAGCCAUACCGCGUGGGUAAAGAAGGCCUUCGGGUUGUAAAGCCCUUUUGUUGGGAAAGAAAAGCAGCAGGUUAAUACCCCGCUGUUCUGACGUUACCCAAAGAAUAAGCACCGGCUAACUUCGUG
rnacentral:rRNA from 1 species